rnacentral:rRNA from 1 species
AUUGAACGCUGGCGGCAGGCCUAACACAUGCAAGUCGAGCGGACGAAGGGAGCUUGCUCCUGGAUUCAGCGGCGGACGGGUGAGUAAUGCCUAGGAAUCUGCCUGGUAGUGGGGGAUAACGUCCGGAAACGGGCGCUAAUACCGCAUACGUCCUGAGGGUGAAAGUGGGGGAUCUUCGGACCUCACGCUAUCAGAUGAGCCUAGGUCGGAUUAGCUAGUUGGUGGGGUAAAGGCCUACCAAGGCGACGAUCCGUAACUGGUCUGAGAGGAUGAUCAGUCACACUGGAACUGAGACACGGUCCAGACUCCUACGGGAGGCAGCAGUGGGGAAUAUUCGACAAUGGGCGAAAGCCUGAUCCAGCAAUGCCGCGUGUGUGAAGAAGGUCUUCGGAUUGUAAAGCACUUUAAGUUGGGAGGAAGGACAGUAAGUUAAUACCUUGCUGUUUUGACGUUACCAACAGAAUAAGCACCGGCUAACUUCGUG